rnacentral:rRNA from 1 species
GAUGAACGCUGGCGGCGUGCCUAAUACAUGCAAGUCGAGCGAACAGACGAGGAGCUUGCUCCUCUGACGUUAGCGGCGGACGGGUGAGUAACACGUGGAUAACCUACCUAUAAGACUGGGAUAACUUCGGGAAACCGGAGCUAAUACCGGAUAAUAUAUUGAACCGCAUGGUUCAAUAGUGAAAGACGGUUUUGCUGUCACUUAUAGAUGGAUCCGCGCCGCAUUAGCUAGUUGGUAAGGUAACGGCUUACCAAGGCGACGAUGCGUAGCCGACCUGAGAGGGUGAUCGGCCACACUGGAACUGAGACACGGUCCAGACUCCUACGGGAGGCAGCAGUAGGGAAUCUUCCGCAAUGGGCGAAAGCCUGACGGAGCCACGCCGCGUGAGUGAUGAAGGUCUUCGGAUCGUAAAACUCUGUUAUUAGGGAAGAACAAAUGUGUAAGUAACUAUGCACGUCUUGACGGUACCUAAUCAGAAAGCCACGGCUAACUACGUG